rnacentral:rRNA from 1 species
UACAGAGGUCUCAAGCGUUGUUCGGAUUCAUUGGGCGUAAAGGGUGCGUAGGCGGCUUGUUAAGUAGGGUGUGAAAUCCCCCGGCUCAACCGGGGAAUUGCGCCCUAAACUGGCGAGCUGGAGUGAGAUAGGGGUGUGUGGAACUUCCAGUGGAGCGGUGAAAUGUGUUGAUAUUGGAAGGAACGCCAGUGGCGAAAGCGACACACUGGGUCUCAACUGACGCUGAGGCACGAAAGCCAGGGGAGCAAACGGG